UCCUGGCUGGCUCAGUUGAUGGAGCAUGCAACUCUUGAUCUCAGGGUUAUGGGUUCAAGUCCCAUGUUGGGUG
rnacentral:tRNA from 1 species